UACGUAGGCAGCGAGCGUUGUUCGGAGUUACUGGGCGUAAAGGGUGUGUAGGCGGUUGUUUAAGUUUGGUGUGAAAUCUCCCGGCUCAACUGGGAGGGUGCGCCGAAUACUGAAUGACUUGGAGUGCGGGAGAGGAAAGUGGAAUUCCUGGUGUAGCGGUGAAAUGCGUAGAUAUCAGGAGGAACACCGGUGGUGUAGACGGCUUUCUGGACCGUAACUGACGCUGAGGCACGAAGGCCAGGGGAGCAAACGGG
rnacentral:rRNA from 1 species